rnacentral:lncRNA from 1 species
GGCGGUUAGAACACAGAGAUUGAUCAUGCCUACAAUGACAACUGGAAAACAGAAAUGAAACCAUAUAAGCCAAGCACUCACGCAAUCUUUGUCCUCCCAGUUGACUUAAGAACACUUGUGAAGAAAAUGUGGCGUCUUUAGAUCUCAGAUCCCUUGUUUCCAACUGGUUCAAAUAAAUAGACAACUCUUCAUUCCGAUGGUACUUCUUAGAGAUAAACCACAUGCAUGUAUCAGAGAAAACAACUCUCAGCCUGGUAAAUGAACAGGAAAAACUUGGGUUAGAAUUCUAUUUCUUUCAAGGUAGAGAGCAAAUUUUCAUAAUCUCACAUGGACAUACAGACCAAGCCAUGCAUGGCACUAUCUACAUAAUCAAGGCGGAGAACACAAAAACUUGGAUAUGAAUGUUCACAGCAGCAUUAUUCAUAAUAGUCAAAAAAUGGAAACAACCGAAAUGCCCACCAACUGAUGCAUGAAUAAACAAAAUGCAGUGCAUCCAUUCAAUGGAAUAUUAUUCAGCCAUUAAAAAGGAUAAAUUACUGAUACAUGCUACAACAUGUAUGAACUUCAAAAACAUAUGCUAAGUGAAAGAAGCCAGCCAUCAAGGACCACAAAUUGUAUUAUUCAAUUUAUAUGAAAUUCUAAAGUAGGCAAAUCUGCAAAGACAAAAUAGUUUAGUGGUUGUAUAGGGCUGGGGUCAGGAGAGGAGAAUAGGAGUGACUGCCAGUGAGCAAGAGGUUUCUGGUGAAAACAUGGAGAGGAGGCUUGAAUAAUUAUCUGAGGUUAGAUUUGUUAUCUGGAGGCACCAUUACCUACUUAAUUUCCUACACAACUCAAAUUCACUAGAAAACUACUGUUGGCUGUACUUUUUUGAUAAUGUAAUUCCUGUAUUUCAAAACUGUUUUUAAGGGUUUUCUUAAUCUCUCCCUUAAAAAACAAAUACUGAGACAGUUACAAAGUAAAAUACACUUUUUAAAAUUUUACUUUCAAAAGAAGAUAAUCAAAAGUGAUACAAUCAUCACAAUUGGCAUUAAAUUAUUGUUUUGAUCUUAAUAUUUUAUUCCCCAUUCAUUUGCUGUUCCUUUUUGUCUGUUCUAAUGCUAUAAUAACUUACCUCAGCUUUAACAAAAUGAAACUUUGUUUUCAUGCUUUAUUAACCUGAAGCUAAUAAUUUUACCUUAGGUGUUAUCAAAAAGUGACUUAUUUUUAGGAUGUUAAUAUCUCAAACAACAGUGUUAUGCUCUGCCACCUACCAAACUCUGGAGUGAGAAAAUCCAAUCAGUUUAACCGACCUUGCACAAUUAAACCAUCAAAUACAUUCCAUAUGCGGGCUUGUUGGCUCGUGCCUGUAAUCCCAGCACUUUGGGAGGUCGAGGCAGGUGGAUCGCUUGAGCCCAGGACUUCAAGACCAGCCUAGGCAACAUGGUGAAACCCUGUCUUUUCUAAAAAUACAAAAAUUAGCCAACCGUGAUAGUGUGCUCCUGGGAAGGCUAAGGUGGGAGAAUCCUUGAGGCCAGGAGGUUGAGGCUGCAGUGAGCUGUGAUUGCACCACUGCACUUUAGUCUGGGUGACAGAGCAAGACCCUGUCUCAAACAAACAAAAAAUCUAUAAUGGAAAACUUAGAAAUCUAAUUGGAUAAUCCUAAGAAACUCCCUCCUGCUCCUAGUUCCUCCCUCAAGUUCUCUAAAAGGUUCAGGAAACAAUUAUAACACUGACAUCUAAAUGUAAUUUGUAAAGUAUUUCUUAUGUUCUCCCUGGUAUUCUCCUUAAAAUCAUCCUAGCUUUCCCAGAACCUAGACAAUAUUGUCUUCUAGUUAAAAUUUUCAUAUGCUGAUGUUUUCUGCCAUUUCUGUUUGGCAGAAAAGCAAACUGGAAAACUUGAUAAACAAGAAAGACCUCAAGUAACAAAAAUUAUAUGUCAUUCUUGGCUCAACUAACAGCUCCAAACCUCUGAAAUGUGGUAGAUCUUUUUCCAAAGGAAGAUCUUACUAACUCUCAGUGUAAAUCUGUACCUUAACUUUAUCACUGUUUAAAACCCAUCUCUAAAUAACAUAGGCCAAGAUCUCCAAAAUCGAUAAUGGGGAAACUGCUCAACAGCAUUCCAGAAGUUCUUAACCAUAAGAGUGAUGCUAUAGUAGAAAGUAAACCGUGAGGCAUCAUGCAUCUUGACUGAAAAUUCCACCCCACACCCACUGAGCUAAUCUGGAGCCGCCAUAGAAGACAGGGAAGUUGGAAGUAGAGACCUUUGCGUAGGCCAUCACCCCUCGCCAUCAAUCAAAAGGAAUUCUGUGAGCUUCUACUGAGAGCCUAGAGCUCUGGUCAGCAGCACAAAGACAGAGCCAGGCAGAAACAACUCCAGAGCCACACCUCCUCUGAAAGACAAUUGUCAGGUGAGAUUUUCAAAUAAAACCACUGGGGAUUAUCCACUAUCUCCCCAAGAAAUUCAAAUGUUUAGAAAUAUAAACACAACACAUACUUUUUUUCAGUAUUUUAUAAAGUUCAACAGUUUUGAUGAUAAUCACAUGUAUGCCAAAUGAUUUGUAAAGUGUAAAAUUUGAAAAAGAUCAGAUAUUAAAUAACAAAUUGAAUGAGAAAAUACGACAACAAUAAAAAAA